rnacentral:lncRNA from 1 species
UGAUUUUUUUCCCAUCAAACUAACGUCAUAUAAUAUUAAUUAUUAAAAAAUCAAAGAAAUAUUAAUUAAAUUAAUGAAAAUACCUAUUCUUCAGCCUCAAAUUAUAGUGAAACAAACCGCGAAAGAAAAGGCGCAGAACAGCCGGAAAUGUUCAUAACCGCACGGAACCCAUAUAACAGGAGGGGAGCCUGAUAACCCGCCCCAAAAUGGGGAUCCGACCAGACUGUACGAAUGGUAAAAUCACCGAACAGUAACCGUACGCACUGUACAGCAGCUCCGAACCGCAGGGGAGGCCUAACAGCAGAGAAAGAAGGGCGGCGCGUGAGGGAGCGUCCGACCUCCGAUUUGGUCGAUCUACUUCCGGCCAAAAAGCUCUGACCAACCUCCAUUACAUCACACUCAAGUAUACCAACAAAAUCAGUAAUAAAAGCAUAUAAAUUGCACCACUGAAACCAAAACCCUAAGUAGCCAAGUGAACUGUGGCUUCUUUACUGGAUCCUUGGUGUCCGCAUGUGGCUGCUGCCUAAUUUGUAUAGAACUAGUAGUUUUGUCUGGUUGAAGCUUUGUGACACUGAAGCCUUAUCCUGCCACAAGGUAUAAUAGAGUGUAGACUGUAGAGUAG